CAUAUCACAUAUACAUGCCAUAUCAUAUCAUAUACCACACCAUAUCACUAUACUGUUCUAUAUCAACAACCCAAUCUGAAAUUUCUAAUCUAGAUAACUGAGCCUCCCUACGCGUAUCCAAAAGUCAAAUCGAAAGACGACGAGAUUUAUCAUCAGCUGGAUGACGUCAAGGCCACUGUCGUGUGUAACCCCAAACUGGAUGACGUGGACAGUUCCCAGGCCACUGUCGUGUGUAACCCCAAACUGGAUGACGUGGACAGUUCCCAGGCCACUGUCGUGUGUAACCACAAACUGGAUGACGUGGACAGUUCCCAGGCCACUGUCGUGUGUAACCCCAUGGCAUUAGGCGAUCAGCCAUCAUAAAUUAGCAGCUCCACUAUCAAAGUACUUGGUGUUAUUUUCCCUGGUGUUCUUUUCCAGGACGUUGGUUUAAGAUUUACUUUGAACGUCACCCGACUUCAGUCCUGAAAUAAGCUGUCGUGGUUUGUGUCUGAACAAUACCUGAAAAUAUCUCAAACGUUGUGGUUCAGUAUUCUACAAUAAGCUGCUGUGGUUUGUGUCUGAACUACGUGAAAAAGAUAUCUCAAACGUGGUUGUCCAGUGUAGGUUGUCCAGUGUCUACUGUAUAAUAAGCUGUCGUGGUUUAUGCCUCGUAAAAAUGACCAGUUCUUUUAAGAACAAUAGAGACGGCGAUGUCCUGUGAUUCAGGAAUAUUUGACAAUUAUUCACGGAAGUGGAGGUUAAUAAUGCAAGGUAUCCGGAGCUCAACAACCAAUCAAAUUGCUUGAAAAACACUACCCACCUUCUGAGUAUAGACUGCAGGAUAUUAAUGAUAUUUGUUGUAAUAGAACUUUAUGAUACAUGUAAUAAACGACAAGACGUAUUGCAGUGGAAAUAUCUUCUGUGUUCUUU